rnacentral:rRNA from 1 species
CCGCUGAAUUUAAGCAUAUCAGUAAGCGGAGGAAAAGAAACUAACAAGGAUUCCCCCAGUAGCGGCGAGCGAACAGGGAAAAGCCCAUAACCGAAUCCCUUGGNGUGACAUCAAUGGGAAAUGUGGUGUUGGGGUGGUCACUUGCUGUGCAUAAAGUCAUUCUAAGUCCACGUGAUUGUGGCGCUCUGCCCAGAGAGGGUGUAAGGCCCGUAAGGAUGUGCUUAUGUGUAUGGCGCGUGGCUACUCAAGAGUCGGAUUGUUUGGGAAUGCAGUCCUAAGCGGGUGGUAAACUCCAUCCAAGGCUAAAUACAACACGNNNNNNNNAGUAAACAAGUACCGUGAGGGAAAGUUGAAAAGGACUUUGAAGAGAGAGUUCAAUAGUGCGUGAAACCGCUUAGAGGUAAACGGGUAGAGCUGAAGUUGGAUUUGGUGGUUGAUAUCUUCCAUGCUGUCAUCUCAGUGGAGUUUUGGUAUCUUUUGCAGGGGGCCUCACGGCUUCAUGUAGGAGACCGCUUGCUGAUGUUGUGUGCAGAAUGGUUGGUUGUUUUCCCCAAAUCUUCACCACGAUCGGUGAUCUUUGCAUUUGUCCACUGUCAUGAGGAAGGUAGGGUUCACUCCUUUGUGGGUGUUCCUGUUAUAGACCAUGGCGUGGAGCUAAUGGAUUACUGUGCAUGGCGAUACAAGUUCCCAUUAUCUCGGGAGCGCACAUGGCGUAUUGCUCUUGUGUCUCAUUGACUUGACUCCUUUCCGGGAGUGAUUUUGAUGAGUGUGCAACUGUUUUUUGAUGCGUCCUCUGUGUAUUGUAUCAAUAAUCUGUGGUGUCAUGUAGGCCAUCUACCUGACCCGUCUUGAAACACGGACCAUGGAGUUUAACAUGUAUGCGAGUCAUGAGGUGCUUUACGAAACCUAAUGGCGCAGUGAAAGUAAAGAUCUGUCUUUGUGCAGAUUGAGGUGGGAUUCUCUGAAGAUGUGUGAUAAAAAGCACAUUGGAGAGACGCCCCACCGGCUCGUCUCAUGCUUUUUAAGCGGGGCGAAGCAAGAGCACACACGUUGAGACCCGAAAGAUGGUGAACUAUGCUUGCGUAGGUUGAAGCCAGAGGAAACUCUGGUGGAGGACCGAAGCGCUUCUGACGUGCAAAUCGAUCGUCAAACGUGAGUAUAGGGGCGAAAGACUAAUCGAACUAUCUAGUAGCUGGUUCCCUCCGAAGUUUCCCUCAGGAUAGCUGGCACUCGGAAAUGGAAAUGAAACAGUUUUAUCCGGUAAAGCGAAUGAUUAGAAGUAUUGGGGACGAAAUGUCCUCAACUUAUUCUCAAACUUUAAAUGGGUGAGAUGACAGUCUCUCUUAAUUGGAGUCUCGUCAUGGAAUGUGAGUGGCUAGUGGGCCAUUUUUGGUAAGCAGAACNGGCGAUGCGGGAUGAACCGAACGUGUUGGUUAAGGUNCCUAAGAAAACGCUCAUGAGAANCCACAAAAGGUGUUGGUUCAUAUAGACAGCAGGACGGUGGUCAUGGAAGUCGAAAUCCGCUAAGGAGUGUGUAACAACUCACCUGCCGAAUGAACCAGCCCUGAAAAUGGAUGGCGCUGGAGCGUUUCACCUAGACCAGACUGCUAUUGCAAGGCUGUGGCUUGGAUGCGAUAGCAUGUAGGAGGGCGAAAUGGUUAGCAUUGAAGCUACGGUCGUGAGACUGGGUGGAGCAGCCAUUUGUGCAGAUCAUGGUGGUAGUAGCAAGUAAUCAAGUGAGAACCUUGAUGACU